AUUGAACGCUGGCGGCAUGCUUUACACAUGCAAGUCGAACGGUAACAGGCCGCCAGGUGCUGCCGAGUGGCGCACGGGUGAGUAAUGCAUCGGAACGUGCCCAGUCGUGGGGGAUAACUACUCGAAAGAGUAGCUAAUACCGCAUACGAUCUAUGGAUGAAAGCGGGGGACCGUAAGGCCUCGCGCGAUUGGAGCGGCCGAUGUCAGAUUAGGUAGUUGGUGGGGUAAAGGCUCACCAAGCCAACGAUCUGUAGCUGGUCUGAGAGGACGACCAGCCACACUGGGACUGAGACACGGCCCAGACUCCUACGGGAGGCAGCAGUGGGGAAUUUUGGACAAUGGGCGCAAGCCUGAUCCAGCAAUGCCGCGUGCAGGAAGAAGGCCUUCGGGUUGUAAACUGCUUUUGUACGGAACGAAACGGCUCUGGUUAAUACCCGGGGCUAAUGACGGUACCGUAAGAAUAAGCACCGGCUAACUACGUG
rnacentral:rRNA from 1 species